UCACCCUCUUUCCCUCUUCUCUUUUUCACACCCAAGGGUUGGGCAUCCAUCUUCCACAUGCUUGAGUUGAGAAGAUUUUCUUCUACAGUAAGGAACAAAGAAGAAAAGGCUAUAAUUCAAGGAUUGAAGUUGCAGUCAAGAUCAAUAGUUGAUCAAGGUUCAAAGAGGCCAAGAUCUUACUUGAAGAAGAAGGAUCUACCAUGAGAAGAAAGAUUCAAGAUUGAUCCCAGUGGAUAUCUGUAGAGGCCAGACACAUGUGCGGCUCAAGGACCUUCGGAUUUAAUAUCAUCGGUAGCGA
rnacentral:lncRNA from 1 species